rnacentral:rRNA from 1 species
UACGUAGGGGGCUAGCGUUGUCCGGAAUCAUUGGGCGUAAAGCGCGUGUAGGCGGUCCGGUAAGUCCGCUGUGAAAGUCGGGGGCUCAACCCUCGGAUGCCGGUGGAUACUGUGGGGCUAGAGUCCGGAAGGGGCGAGUGGAAUUCCUGGUGUAGCGGUGAAAUGCGCAGAUAUCAGGAGGAACACCAAUGGCGAAGGCAGCUCGCUGGGACGUGACUGACGCUGAGACGCGAAAGCGUGGGGAGCAAACAGG